ACUGAGGUUCCACUAUAGUGCGCAAAUAUGCAACAAGCCUCCGCGAAAUAAUAUCUAAUGACGAUCUCGCGGAGGACGCUGGCAGAAGAAGUGCGUGGGGGGUAGUUUUAGCACGUAGGCGCCAUGGAUGGCGAAUCGUGCAUGCUGCUGGCAAGAACCAGCAGUGUCUUUCGAAGAUUUUUACCUCUAGCUCGC
rfam:Glossina palpalis gambiensis isolate 146720 unplaced genomic scaffold Scaffold27, whole genome shotgun sequence.